UAGGGAAUCUUGCGCAAUGGGCGAAAGCCUGACGCAGCCAUGCCGCGUGAAUGAUGAAGGUCUUAGGAUUGUAAAAUUCUUUCACCGGGGACGAUAAUGACGGUACCCGGAGAAGAAGCUCCGGCUAACUUCGUGCCAGCAGCCGCGGUAAUACGAAGGGGGCUAGCGUUGCUCGGAAUUACUGGGCGUAAAGGGCGCGUAGGCGGACAGUUUAGUCAGAGGUGAAAGCCCAGGGCUCAACCUUGGAAUAGCCUUUGAUACUGACUGUCUUGAGUACGGGAGAGGUGUGUGGAACUCCGAGUGUAGAGGUGAAAUUCGUAGAUAUUCGGAAGAACACCAGUGGCGAAGGCGACACACUGGCCCGUUACUGACGCUGAGGCGCGAAAGCGUGGGGAGCAAACAGG
rnacentral:rRNA from 1 species